GACGAGGGCGCGAGCGUUGUCCGGAUUUAUUGGGCGUAAAGAGCUCGUAGGCGGCUUGUCGCGUCGAAAUGUGAAAACUCGGGGCUCAAACUCCGAGCUUGCAUUCGAUACGGGCAGGCUAGAGUUCGGUAGGGGAGACUGGAAUUCCUGGUGUAGCGGUGAAAAUGCGCAGAUAUCAGGAGGAACACCGGUGGCGAAGGCGGGUCGCUGGGCAGUAACUGACGCUGAGGAGCGAAAAGCGUGGGGGGAGCGAACAGGG
rnacentral:rRNA from 1 species